AACGAACGCUGGCGGCAUGCCUAACACAUGCAAGUCGAACGAACCCUUCGGGGUUAGUGGCGCACGGGUGCGUAACGCGUGGGAACCUGCCUUUAGGUUCGGAAUAACAGUUAGAAAUGACUGCUAAUACCGGAUAAUGUCUUCGGACCAAAGAUUUAUCGCCUUUAGAUGGGCCCGCGUUGGAUUAGAUAGUUGGUGGGGUAAUGGCCUACCAAGUCGACGAUCCAUAGCUGGUCUGAGAGGAUGAUCAGCCACACUGGGACUGAGACACGGCCCAGACUCCUACGGGAGGCAGCAGUGGGGAAUAUUGGACAAUGGGCGAAAGCCUGAUCCAGCAAUGCCGCGUGAGUGAUGAAGGCCUUAGGGUUGUAAAGCUCUUUUACCAGGGAUGAUAAUGACAGUACCUGGAGAAUAAGCUCCGGCUAACUCCGUGCCAGCCGCCGCCGUAACAC
rnacentral:rRNA from 1 species